rnacentral:rRNA from 1 species
UGAGGAAUCUUGCUCAAUGGGCGAAAGCCUGAAGCAGCGACGCCGCGUGAAGGAUGAAGGUCUUCGGAUUGUAAACUUCUGUUAAGUGGGAAGAAAUCUCUAUUUCUAAUACAGAUAGAGGAUGACGGUACCAUUAGAGAAAGCACUGGCUAAUCUCGUGCCAGCAGCCGCGGUAAUACGAGGGGUGCAAGCGUUAUUCGGAAUUAUUGGGCGUAAAGGGUGUGUAGACGGCAUGUUAAGUCAACUGUUAAAUUCCUCGGCCUAACUGAGGGUAUGCGGUAGAAACUGGCGUGCUAGAGGGUGAGAGAGAGAAGUGGAAUUCUCGGAGUAGCGGUAAAAUGCGUAGAUCUCGAGAGGAACACCGAUGGCGAAGGCAGCUUCUUGGCUCACUCCUGACGUUGAGGCACGAAAGCGUGGGGAGCAAACAGGAUUAGAUACCCCGGUAGUCC